CCGACGGUGAGGGAUGAAAGCUGGGGGAGCAAACCGGAUUAGAUACCCGGGUAGUCCCAGCUGUAAACGAUGCAAACUCGAUGAUGCGUUGGCUUAUUGCUAGCGCAGUGUCGCAGGGAAGCCGUUAAGUUUGCCGCCUGGGAAGUACGUACGCAAGUAUGAAACUUAAAGGAAUUGGCGGGGGAGCACCACAAGGGGUGAAGCCUGCGGUUCAAUUGGAGUCAACGCCUGAAACCUUACCCGGAGAGACAGCAGAAUGAAGGUCAAGCUGAAGACUUUACCAGACAAGCUGAGAGGUGGUGCAUGGCCGUCGCCAGCUCGUGCCGUGAGAUGUCCUGUUAAGUCAGGUAACGAGCGAGAUCCCUGCCUCUAGUUGCCACCAUUGCUCUCAGGAGCAGUGGGGCGAAUUAGCGGGACCGCCGCAGUUAAUGCGGAGGAAGGAAGGGGCCACGGCAGGUCAGUAUGCCCCGAAACUCUGGGGCCACACGCGGGCUGCAAUGGUAGCGACAAUUGGUUUCGAAUCCGAAAGGAUGAGGUAAUCCACAAACGCUACCACAGUUAUGACUGAGGGCUGCAACUCGCCCUCACGAAUAUGGAAUCCCUAGUAACUGCGUGUCAUUAUCGCGCGGUGAAUACGUCCCUGCUCCUUGCACACACCGCCCGU
rnacentral:rRNA from 1 species